UACGAAGGGGGCUAGCGUUGCUCGGAAUCACUGGGCGUAAAGCGCACGUAGGCGGCUUUUUUAAGUCAGGGGUGAAAUCCUGGAGCUCAACUCCAGAACUGCCUUUGAUACUGGAGAGCUUGAGUCCGGGAGAGGUGAGUGGAACUCCGAGUGUAGAGGUGAAAUUCGUAGAUAUUCGGAAGAACACCAGUGGCGAAGGCGGCUCACUGGCCCGGUACUGACGCUGAGGUGCGAAAGCGUGGGGAGCAAACAGG
rnacentral:rRNA from 1 species